GAUGAAGAACGUAACGAAAUGCGAUACGUAAUGUGAAUUGCAGAAUUCAGUGAAUCAUCGAGUCUUUGAACGCACAUUGCGCCCCCUGGUAUUCCGGGGGGCAUGCCUGUCCGAGCGUCAUUGCUGCCCUCAAGCACGGCUUGUGUGUUGGGCCUCCGUCCUCCUCCCGGGGGACGGGCCCGAAAGGCAGCGGCGGCACCGCGUCCGGUCCUCGAGCGUAUGGGGCUUCGUCACCCGCUCUUGUAGGCCCGGCCGGCGCUUGCCGACACAUCAAUCUUUUUUCCAGGUUGACCUCGGAUCAGGUAGGGAUACCCGCUGAACUUAAGCAUAUCAAUAAGCGGAGGA
rnacentral:misc_RNA from 1 species